AGUGAAUAGAUACCCAGGUAGUCCACGCCCUAAACGAUGUCGACUAGUCGUUCGGAGCAGCAAAUGCACUGAGUGACGCAGCCAACGCGUGAAGUCGACCGCCUGGGGAGUACGGCCGCAAGGUUAAAACUCAAAGGAAUUGACGGGGACCCGCACAAGCGGUGGAUGAUGUGGAUUAAUUCGAUGCAACGCGAAAAACCUUACCUACCCUUGACAUGUCUGGAACCUUGCUGAGAGGCGAGGGUGCCUUCGGGAGCCAGAACACAGGUGCUGCAUGGCUGUCGUCAGCUCGUGUCGUGAGAUGUUGGGUUAAGUCCCGCAACGAGCGCAACCCUUGUCACUAGUUGCCAUCAUUUGGUUGGGCACUCUAGUGAGACUGCCGGUGACAAACCGGAGGAAGGUGGGGAUGACG
rnacentral:rRNA from 1 species